rnacentral:rRNA from 1 species
UCCGCCGGGGGCUCGCGUUGCUCGGAAUCACUGGGCGUACAGGGUGCGUAGGCGGGUCUUUAAGUCAGGGGUGAAAUCCUGGAGCUCAACUCCAGAACUGCCUUUGAUACUGAAGAUCUUGAGUUCGGGAGAGGUGAGUGGAACUGCGAGUGUAGAGGUGAAAUUCGUAGAUAUUCGCAAGAACACCAGUGGCGAAGGCGGCUCACUGGCCCGGUACUGACGCUGAGGUGCGAAAGCGUGGGGAGCAAACAGG